rnacentral:lncRNA from 1 species
CAGUGACCUCAUGAAGAUCGGCGGAGUUCUGGUUAACUCAACACUCAUGGGAGAAACAUUUUAUAUACUUAUUGUGGUCAGCAAGUCCAUCUGGGCAGCGCAGAGGGACCAAAGGUGUCCAUCGUUGGCCUGGACGAUUCUGGCUUCCUCCAGGUUCACCAGGAGGGCGGCGAGGUUGUGACUGUGCACCCGGACGGCAACUCCUUCGACAUGCUGAGAAACCUCAUCCUCCCCAAACGGCGGUAAUGCCGGGCGUCCCCGAGACGCGGCUGCCUGUCCGUGCCCAUGCAUCUGGAAAUCUAAUUUAGAGUUGUAGGUGAAUUUUCUUUUCCUCCAAUUCAUUUGUUAAGUCUUUGUUCUUUUUCUGUGUUUCUGUUUGUUUUUAGGUUUGUUUUGUUGUCGUUUUCUUUGGUGUUUGAAGAGGCUCUGGGAUAGAUGGUUAAGAAGUAGAAAAUUUAGUUUAGGGAAAGCCCUCCCACAGGUGGGAAAUUGCUCUCCCCUCUGUGGCUUGGACUUACGUUUAUUGUCAAGGGGAGUUUUUACAUGGAAAUGACAAUGGGAAAAUUCAGAUAUUUUCUUAGUAGUGCAGACCUUUACCCCUAGUCUAUGAAAAAACAAACCAAAAUAUGCUCUUGCGCCCAGGCCAGUGGUGAGUUAGAGGUAUGCUAUCACUGUUUGUAAGCAUCUGGGGAGGUACUGAACUGUAAGAACAUGCUUGGACACUUAGUCAUUGUUCUGUGUUUUUAUUAAUGAAGAAAAGGGAAGACAGACUUCCAAGAGUUACUGUCCACCCGGUGGUGUGGCCCCAUAGCGAAGUCUAAAUGCCUGUAGAGAUAGAGCUAGCUGGUGUGGUUGCAGUGACCUUGUAGAGGAAAUCAGUUCAUUACUUUGACAUCAUUCAGUGAGCUCUCCUUUCCUAAGGAAGUUUAAAUGUCCUUAGUUAGGGACUGACUUUCUUAAGUAAGUUUAAAUUUACUACAUAUUGUGAAGAGACAGGAUCAAGUUCAGAAUCCUUAAAUGUCUGAUUAGGCAUCACUUGGAUGAGGAGGUGGGCGAUUUGGCUCUGACAGCUGGAGAUGAAGGCACACUCAUACCACAUACAAGGGAGGAUUUGGAGCUUUUAAGCCAGUUUCAGAUUUACUCUGAAAUGUGGAGCAUUCCUGCAAGACUGUGCAGCUCACGGAAUAUAGAAGACAUGGCAUUUUACUCAGAAGUCAUAAGUUUUUGCCCCCCUCAUUUACCUCGUAUUACCAAGAAAGAAAAUGUUAUCGAUACUAAACACCAUCAGUUCAGAGGGAGGAUGUGUGUGUGUGCCCGCAUAUGUGUGUGCGUGCGUGUGUGCGCACAUAGCUUUAAAAGAAGACAUUCAAAAUUUGAUGUGCUACAAGCCUCAUGAAAGAACAAAAGAAAUGAAGCCUUUUGAUAUGCAUUCGCUAUUCCCAGAUGUACGCCAUGCCUUUUCCAUGUCCCUCCUAUCUCUGUUGAACUUAUGAAUCAUACUCAUUACUUUUCAGCUUUUUAAAAGGCCAAUUUUUGUCCAGUUUUCUCUCUUCCAGUCCCAGCUGAAAUUAGUGGAAAGAAAGUUUGAUGGAGCUUUCAGCUUUGAACAAAAUCCCUUCAUUGUAAACUAGCACCAUCUUUAUCCAGGUCUUACCCAGUCAGGCUAAUUCCAGAAACUUGUGGUUUUUAGUAUAGUCUGUCUACCUUUAGCCAGGCACAGGACAGCCCUAUGAAAAAAUACCCAAUAUAUAUUUUUUGGAAAUGAAACAUUAAAAGAACUUAAAAAGUAAUUUUUGGAAAUGAGGCUUCAAUUAGAAUUAUUUUUCUCAAAAAACAAACAAACAAAAAACACAAAAAAAACCACUCUUCUCCAAAUGCCCAAGCCUUCUUUCAAAAUUAGUUAGAAACUUAAGUAAAAUACAAGUCCACACCAUCCCCAAAUUACAAAAUGGACUUACCCUUGAGAGGGCAUCUGCAGAAUAUCAUCAGGGACAAAGAUCUCGAGGCUAACGAUGUAGGUUUCAUUUCUCAGACUUUGUAAUAUAAGGCAAGCCCUCUCUCAGAGCUGCCAUCAUCACUUUUUGAAUUUCUUUGGGGGUUAUUUAAUGAAAAACAUGCUAUGUUUUGUUUUAAGCUGAAGUCCUAUUCUGGACACUCUGCUUUGGGAAAAAAUGUUAUCAUUUAAUUUCCUUUCUGCAAAUUAAAACUAAUGAAGUGUGGCCUUGUCAAAGGCUAUGGAGAUGUUCCGGGCAUACUGCUGUGCUCUGUGCUUUCCAGCAGGCGCUCCUCCCUCACGCAGGAGACUCAGUUGUCCUGAGAGAGAUGAAGCAGCCUUGAAGCAGAUGCUGCGUUUUCCAUAAACCUGAUUUUGCCUCACAUGAACCAAAGACUCUCAAAACUCCGCUUCUAUAGAAUUAGCUGAAUAAAGGCAUUUUACUGAUAGCUGUUCGUGUUAGCGAAACCUGUCUACCUGCUAUAGCACACUCUCCGAUUUGGGCCAUUUAUGCACCCCGCAACCUGGGAUCUCAAGGAGCUUUAAAGUCUUAAUGGGAACUUGGCAUUUUCCUGAUGAUCUUUAAAAUGUGGUCACUAAACUCAGGAUUGGCGUGUGCUUUUAGAACACUGGAGUAGCCCUUGUUUUAGAGGCUGUGCAUUGAGUAUCGACCGUAUUUUGUAAAAGGCAAGAUAUCCUCCCUUCCAGGCUGGUAACGGGUUUCAAGGGGACUCUUGAGGAAGUGCCCCCUAAAAUAGAACACAGCAAUAACUGGGCUUCCUGUCCCCACCCCCACCCCAGCAGUGCUCUCUGGCACUGGGAACUCUGCUAGGGAGUGGUGGAAGUAGGAAGGAUUUGUGUGCAAAGGAAAAUCGUGGUUGAGUUUCACUGCAGCAGGCUGACGUUGCCUGAUGUGAGAGCAAGUGGCCGACUGGGGUGCGGGUGCACAGGUCGGGGGAGCACAGGCCACAGAGCGCAGCCUCUGGGGGUCCCCCAAGGCACAGCAUAUACAGCAUGGUCGCCCCUUGCCCUGGAGUCUGGGAACAAAGAGAGGAGCCAGCCUCCCCGCACUGCUUCAGAUGGAAAAGGGAGGCAGGGUGGGCUUCCGUUCUCCAGAUCUGUUUGCUCUUAACAGGCAGAACAUGGGAGAAUCCUUAUUCCUGGUUAAUCACUAUGCAUAUUUGAAAUAAAAGAAAGCGUAAGCCUCUGCAAUUUUAACUUCUCA